CCUACGGGCGGCAGCAGUCGAGAAUCAUUCACAAUGGGGGAAACCCUGAUGGUGCGACGCCGCGUGGGGGAAUGAAGGUCUUCGGAUUGUAAACCCCUGUCAUGUGGGAGCAAAUUAAAAAGAUAGUACCACAAGAGGAAGAGACGGCUAAAUCUGUGCCAGCAGCCGCGGUAAUACAGAGGUCUCAAUGGUUGUUCGGAAUCCCUGGGCGUAAAGGGUGCGUAGGCUGUUUCGUAAGUCGUGUGUGAAAGGCGCGGGCUCAACCCGCGGACGGCACAUGAUACUGCGAGACUAGAGUAAUGGAGGGGGAACCGGAAUUCUCGGUGUAGCAGUGAAAUGCGUAGAUAUCGAGAGGAACACUCGUGGCGAAGGCGGGUUCCUGGACAUUAACUGACGCUGAGGCACGAAGGCCAGGGGAGCGAAAGGGAUUAGAUACCCGUGUAGUC
rnacentral:rRNA from 1 species